UUGGCGGAGGUCAGGAUGAAGUAUCAUUUGGAGGGCUGACCUGGAGGCGGGGCAGAGAGAUCCGUUUCUCAAGACGUUUGUCUGGAGUUCAGGGGCUCCCAGGUUUCACUCUGGCCUGAACCAAAAGAUAGAGGCUGGAGAAUUCAGGAGAACCUUGCUUCCUGGCGGUCCUUGCAGGGGGUGGGAGCACAGGCCGGCCCAGGAGAAAUGUUCACCUACCUGAGUCCCAUGGACAUUAUAGGCCAGUUUAGAGAUGAUGCAACCGAGGUUGAGCAGCUGCCUGAGGUCGCAGAUGGCGAGCGGUGGCACCCGGAUCAGAGCGCAGGCACGCUGCUCCGACGCUGGCAUGUCAGCCAUCAAGCAGUUCAACUUUCUCUUCAGUCUGAGCAUUUCCAGAGCCCAACAGCCCUGUGGACUUCUGUUCCCAUGACCCUUCAUCUGUGGACUGAGUGAACACAGAGUCUGGAGGACGGAGCAAAGUAUUUCUCUGUUCCUGUGCAGUUUCCUCUUGGAUGGGAAUGAGAAUGGAAGGAGCAAGUGGAUGAGACAGAGACAGAGGACCCCAAACGGCUGUACCUCACCCUGCUAGCUGAAACUCGAAUCCUCAAAAUCUCCUUAUGUUCAGCAGAAAUUCCUUUCCUAUGGAUCAAGUCUGCACUUUGAAACCCACAGAGAAGGGACCAUCUCUUUCCAAUGACAACCCUUAGGCAUCUGUUCUACAGGAGAAAAAUCCCUAUUUCCUUUAUACAUAUGUUCAUUCUAGGAUGCCAGUUUCCAGGCCCCCAUCAUCCUGAUCAUUCUGCUCUGAUUCACUCAAGCUUGCCAAUAUACUUUUUAAAAUAUGGCAGUAGGAAUUGAAAGUGUUUUUCUCUCGGGAAAGAGUAGUUAUGCUGCAUAUAUAAUGUCUGAACAAGGCAGAGGGAAAGAGAAAUGAUUUUUAAGUGAUUUUAAGGAAGUGAGCUUGUAGAUUGGCAAGAUGGUACUGAGGAUGGCAUUGGUGGUGUUGAAAACCUGGGCAUAGUGCUUCAGAUGUAAGAUGACUUGGGGUUGGCUAUGUUUCCUAGUGGGAAACAGGAAAUACAGACCUGGAGAGAGAGUAAGAGAUUAGGACCCAAGGUAUAGUCUGGAAAGUCUUCAGCCUAGAUGUAGACGGUGGUAGCUAACCCAUUGAGGAAGGGAGAAACUCCCCUUUGUGGAGUGCCAGGAUGACCGGGCUGUGCCAGAUGUUUUUCUGGUGUUAAUAUCUAAUCUUCACAAUUUUGUAUGGUAGAAAUUACUGCCCUCAUGAGGAGGAUGAGGCCAAUAAAGGUUAAGUAACUUGCCGAGCGCCACCCAAACACUAAGUGAAAUGGCUGGGAUUCCAACUCAGGUGAGUUCUCAGGGAGUGUGACGAAAGCCUCAAGAACGUGUUCCCAAACCAGUGGUGUCAACUGUGAAUCACUGAGGAGCACUGGCACGUAAAGGUUUCCCAGGCGGUCUGUAGCCUGAGUGCAGAUUUAGUGUUUAUGAAAUAAAGUCUACAGUUUGCUGGGAGGUCGGGUAGCCCAGAACUUAGUGGUUAGGGACACGGGCUUUAGAGAGACCUGGCUUCAAACUGUAGCUUUGCCCCUUGCUUGUUGCGUGUUCAUGAGAAAAUGUCUCCACCUUUCUACCCUUAGUUUCUUUGUCGAUGACAUGUUAAUGAUAGCAACUUUGUGGCAUUGUUACAAGGACUGAAUGAGAUCAUGUUUGUAGUGGGUCUAUUCAUAUGUCUAUGUGAGUAAAAUGUAUGUAAAGCAUAUUUAUAUAUGAGGAGUGCUUAAGUAAUAAGCAUUCCACAAAGGUUAGCUAUUUCUUCCUGUGUAAAUUAUUCAUUUGUCCCUGGCACUUGACAUCAAGCCUCUUUUUAAAAUGGAGAAUGAGUAUGGUGGAUUGUAAUGUGUCACCUUGGCUAGGUUCCGUUACUUUUCCCAAAAUUCUUUUCCCUGUGUGUUUCAGGUUAGACUGGUCCAUGAGACAUUCUUGUGGGAGACUGUGGGCUGAAGUGAGGCAACGGCCAUUUUGUAGCUCUCGCACAUUGUCAUUUAUUUGCUGGCUCACCUUACUGGUGUGAGGCAGCAGCCAGGCCUACAACUGCCCUCAUCUUCCCCCGGCUCCUCCUCCAGCAUCUCUGGCUUCUGGGCCAGGCACGUGUGUUUAGCAAUCUGAUGAAGGGUCCCAGCUUCUGCGGGACGUCAGUACCGUGAAAGUCAGAGGCAACAGGAAUGACACAAUUUCAUUGCAUCCUAGUGCGCCAGUUUGUGCUUGCUUUCUUCCCACUUCAGAUGCAGCUUCUCUUCCCAACUGCCUGCCUCUGACUAUAAAUACCUCCUAGUUAGGGUUGCCAGAUUUAGCAAAUAAAAAUACAGGAUGCUCAGUCAAAUGAAAGUGUCAGAUAAAUAAUUUCCUGGUGUGUGUUCAUCUGGAAUUCAAAUUUGACGGGGCAUCCUGUUUUUUGGGUUUUGUUUGCUAAUUCUGGCAACCCUAAGAGUGGGAGAGUAAGUGACUAGAGAAAGGUGAGAUUGCUGGGCAGAACCCAGUUGAGGAUAGUGACUGUGAGGGUAACGACACCAAUAAUACCCAGCUGAGUACUUUUCUUCAGCAGGGCUCAGCUGCCCCGGUGCAAGCAAGGCCUGGAUAAUCGGGUUCCUCCAGAGUUGGGGUUUUACCAGGUGGAUGCUGGUAAGCAGCACGAGAGAGUUUACGGCAGUGGUUUGCAAAAUUGCAUUUGCAACAGCGUCACAUAGAGGACUCAUUAGCACACAGAUUGUAGGGCCCCAUCCCUAGAGUUUUUGAAUUUAUUGGUCCAGGGCUGGGGGGUAGCAAGAAUGUGCAAUUUCUAAUGAGUGCAGCUGAUCCAAGGACCACAUUUUGAGACCCACUGGAGUAGGCUGAAAUGAGGGACCAUGGGACCUAAUGUAGAGAAGGGGGGGAGUCAGGAUGGAGGAGGCUGAUGGCACAGAGGGGAUGAGAAAGGCAGUCCACGUCCCUUGCCUUCACGGUGAGCGGAUGUGGUGCCGCCUUCCCAGGCGUAGGUUGUUCUGCCCCUUCAAUCUUUUCUCUCCUCUGUAGUAAUUUUGGACUAUGUAACACCCCGGUCCUUCCUCUAAUACUGGCAUCUGCUUCCCUUUUCAUGGGGGAAGUUUUUGAGAACUCUGGUGUCAUGACACUGGUGUCCAGUCUGAUCCAUGAGAAGCUGGGCAUUAAAGCAAACGCACUGACGGGGGCGACAUCGCCACGAGGGUGCAGAGGUGAUGGUAACAAGGCCCUGACUGGCAAUAACUGCUCUGUGGAAAGCUUCCAAGUUAACUAGUUUUUCUUCCCUCUGAGAAGGAGUUUAGGCGUUAGGAAAUGGCAAAGAAGGAAAGCAGGGGGAAAGGAGAAAAGCAGCCAAGAUCUUGGGUCCAGGUGAAGCUUUCCAUUGCCCAGCCCUUUCUUGAUUUUUAGUUAAGUCAUAGAAUAACACAUUUUACCCAAUUCUCCAUGGAAUAUGGCCUUAAAUGGAAAGGAUCUUGACUUCAUUAAGUGUGUACAAUAUGUCAGAUG